GAGUCACGGGCCGCGCACACUGCACGUCUGACUGCACGGGCCCCUCGGGCCUGCACCUCCGCGGCCCGGAAGGGACGGAAGCCCCGCGUCCCCACCCCCACCCCGGGAGGGUCCCUGCGGCAGUUACGGGGGAGCAGCGAUAGCUGCCCUGGAGGUCGCAUUCCCACCCGGCCCCCGAGUUCUCCGGGAGAACUCCCCCGCAGCCUCGGCGGCAUCGCCUCCUCCAAUCUCCCCAGGAAUCGUGUUUCCCCCAACCCUGCCUCCGUGCGCGCCGGGGUGGCGGCGGGAUCCCGGUGCCGCCACCCCUCGGCCCCUCCGCCGCCGUGCGGGACCGCGAUGGGGGAGGGGACAGGCCCGGUUUCGGUGAGGGGGCUGGGGUCGGCCACGCCCUCUUCCCUGGCCCCAGGGUGGGGGCCGCGAGGAUGGCGGGGUCACCGGGCUGAACUCGCGCCUGUCUGACCUGCGGGGGUGUAGGCGGUGUGGACUGUGGACUGGAAGACGUCCUUAAAUUUUUAAAAAUAGUCUUGCCGUAUGGAGAAGAACACUGGAACCUUUAAGUCCGCAUCCCCUCGCCCGAUUCGGCUCGUCUUAGUCCAGAGUGUAACUCCAAACAUACUUAUUAAGAAACUGUUGCUUUAUUUUGACUCGUUUACAUAAAAUUUCCACUUUGGGGGGGAUGGCGGUGGGCUUGUGGAUUCCCUAAAAUAACUUUUAAUGGAGCGAAGCCUUCCAUUAUGGGAAGCGCCUAGACGCGGAGAGGCGUCUGGGGGCCUGGGUUGCCGUCACAGCCCUGCCACCAGCUGGCUGAGCGACCGGGGCACGUCGCUGCCCCCUCUGCCCGUGUUAGGAGAGUGGCCGCGGCGGGGCGACUGCACGAGCUGCCCCUAGGAUUGAAAGACAGAGGCUGUCUCUCCUUAACUUGCUUUGAUCCUGCAGAGAAGCAAAAUGGAGUGAGAUUAAAAAUAAAGAAGAUGCAAGCAGUUU
rnacentral:lncRNA from 1 species